UUGCCCAUCGGGGCCACGGAUACCUGUGUGUCC
rfam:Mouse (clone pMusmp27) DNA sequence.